GGGGAAUUAGCUCAAAUGGUAGAGCGCUUGCUUCGCAUCACGAGAGGCAGCGGGAUCAAUGCCCGCAUUCUCCA
rnacentral:tRNA from 1 species